GAUGAACGCUGGCGGCGUGCCUAAUACAUGCAAGUCGAGCGAAUGGAUUAAGAGCUUGCUCUUAUGAAGUUAGCGGCGGACGGGUGAGUAACACGUGAGUAACCUGCCCUUGACUCUGGGAUAACUGCGGGAAACUGUAGCUAAUACCGGAUACGACCCUCGGCGGCAUCGCCAGGGGGUGGAAAGAAUUUCGGUCAAGGAUGGACUCGCGGCCUAUCAGCUAGUUGGUGAGGUAACGGCUCACCAAGGCGACGACGGGUAGCCGGCCUGAGAGGGUGACCGGCCACACUGGGACUGAGACACGGCACAGACUCCUACGGGAGGCAGCAGUGGGGAAUAUUGAACGAUGGGCGCAAGCCUGAUGCAGCAACGCCGCGUGAGGGAUGACGGCCUUCGGGUUGUAAACCUCUUUUAGUAGGGAAGAAGCGAAAGUGACGGUACCUGCAGAAAAAGCACCGGCUAACUACGUGCCAGCAGCCGCCGUAA
rnacentral:rRNA from 1 species